ensembl:lncRNA
AUGCUUGAAAUCAUUGUUCUUCCAUUGUUAACCAUGGUGACCUGCAAAGAAACGCGUGCAGCCAUCAUAGCGUUGCAUAAAAAUGGCUUCACAGGCAAGGAUAUUGUGGCUACUAAGAUUGCACCUAAAUCAACAAUUUAUAGUCAGCUUCAUUUGCAUACUAUGUGCACAUCAUUUACAUUUAAUCGUUUAGCAGAUGCUUUUAUCCACAGCGACUUACAAAUGAGGACAAUAGAAACAAUCAAACCAACAAAAGCAUGUUGUCUAAUUAUUGUGGCUGUUCCUGAUUCAGAUGAGUGCACAAUCUAAAAAUCAGACAAGAACCAGAUGAAUAUUUCAAUCUAACGAAUACUGAACUGUUUCUGAAGUCCUUCAAAAAAACCUUUCUGCAUUCUCUUGCUUGUCUGAUAGCUUCGACUACUUCUAUUCCGUCUCCUCCAUCCAUGCUGAAUGGAUUUUUUUUACUUAGCUCUUCAAAUUUCGCAUCAUCAUCACAAUUAUACAAGUCCCUGAUGAACUUUAAGUUUAAAUGAUAUACUCCUGGCUGCACAUUGGGGUCAUUUGGUAAAUCCACCCCUUUAUAUGUUUCCUUAAAUUCGAUCGCCCCAUUACAGUAUACACCAAUUGCCAAAGUCCUGUCAUUCAGAGUUGACUGUCUGAUCUUUAGGUCUUUUAGCUCUGGCUCUUUCUCAUAUUUCUGAAAUCUUUCUGGUGCAACGAUGAUGAUGGGCUUACUGACGGGAAACACAGCUUUAAAAUUGGCACGUGUCUUGACCUGCCUGAUCAGAACGCAUGACUCCAUUGUGUAAUCGCCUUUGCUCCUUCCUUUCUUGAUGAAACUCUCCUCUAUGGUGUCCUUUUCCUUAUCCACUAGAACGCAGAAGUUGGGUUCUGGGUAAUACACGAAGAGACCAUUGACCUCUGCUAAGGCUGCACGAAUCUGGAGGUCCAGGUCACUUGCAAGGUGCUGUUUUUUCUCGUGGGUGAGCUCAUAACCAGUCGACAUGAGGGUGGGUGGGAUGGGUGGAUCUUUUUUUAGCUCCUUUCUCACUAUUUGUAAGUAUUCACUGUAGAUGGAGUUGAAGCUGAAAGUGUCGCUAUCAAUGAAACUGAAGUAAACCAGACUUCUAUCGUUUCCCCUCAACUCCCGCACAAGAUUUGUUGUAGCAGCAUGGCUUUUCAGAUACUCUCGAAUAUCCUGGUAUGGUAUGAUAUUUUUAGGCUUUUUAGAUUUUUUUUGUAGUUUUUGAAUUUCUUCAUCAGUCAAUUCAGUUGCUAUUUUUCCACCGCUUCCCCAAGUGUAAGUGAUUAUAGAAUACCUGAUUUUACAAUCGUACGUGUAGCCCUCCAGUUUGUUCAGUUCUUUAACUAGGUCUUGGGUGUGUUUUCCGUUCAUGCCAAAAAUCACGGCUACAUCUUCCAGCACCUCUCUGCCAUUUCUAUCCCUCGUAAAUUUCCUAUCCUCUUCUUUAAAGCCUUCAAUUAGAGCAUCGAGUAGAUAACGACACCUUUUCUUUGCCUCAUCCUCUGAAUCCACCUUCAAAGGUAUAUUGAUCAAAAACUUGACCUUUAAGCCCUGAUGAAGAGACAGAACAGAUUUUUGUGACUGAAAGUACAGUAUAGAAAGAGCAGGAGUCAAGUUACUGUACUCCUCCAAUAGUAAAACUCUUAAUACCACACUGCUGCUGAUUCUGGGUUGUGAUUGAUCAGAAGGUUUUGUUUAAUUUUCAAUAACAGCAGUUCAGUUGACUGUAAACAGAUAAAAAAAGUAUUCUAAACACAUGCACAGUGUGCUUACUUAAUACCUCUAGUGCCUAUAAUAAACUAGAAACUGGAGUAGUCCACAUUUUAUAAUUACAAUUACAUGUUUGUGAAGAACAGUAACUACUUUAAUACAAACCAUGUUAAAUAUAACAUCUAACCUGAGUAGAGGGGUCUCUGGGCCUCUUGCUGCCUGUGGGUACAAUCUUGCUUGCCAUCUUCUUGCUCUUCGCUGCUCCUAACCGAGUGAAAUCUGCCUGCUCAGCCGAGUCUUAUAUUACAGGCAUGUGAUGGGCCAUGGUCAAAAAAAGAAGGAAGGAAGUUUGCGUGCUCCUCCCCAGCCUC